UACAGAGGUCUCAAGCGUUGUUCGGAUUCAUUGGGCGUAAAGGGUGCGUAGGCGGCGCGGUAAGUCGGGUGUGAAAUCUCGGAGCUUAACUCCGAAACUGCAUUCGAUACUGCCGUGCUUUGAGGACUGGAGAGGAGACUGGAAUUUACGGUGUAGCGGUGAAAUGCGUAGAUAUCGUGAAGGAAGACCAGUGGCGAAGGCGGGUCUCUGGACAGUUCCUGACGCUGAGGCACGGAAGGUCAGGGGAGCAAACGGG
rnacentral:rRNA from 1 species